GAACGCCGCGCUCGAUCCGCGAGAUUUCCCUUUCGGGCCCUCCGUGCCGUUAGUCGCGUAAUCGACACGUUGGAGGAAGUGAACUCGCGCUGUCUCGGUGCAGAGGAGCGAGGAGGAGCCGCUGCAGUGCGGCUGUCCCGUGCUGCUCGCCGUACUGCGGAGCGCCGUCGGCCCGACUGGGGACGCGGGCUGCGAGCUUCCGGGCGGCGUCUGAAAGCCCUGAUAACGUGAUGGCAUCUGUGCCGAACCGCUUUUAACGCGCCUUUAUUAGUUCUGUUCGUUUCUCUGCCUUUUCCUUAAGCAUUCUUCAGCGUGUUUGCUUUCAGAACUGACGUUACCGACGGGUUGUAUGUAACUACGUGCAAAACCGGGUGGUAAGCAGGAGGAAGGCAGCUGCUCUGCGAUGCUCCACAUCGCCAGGACUGGCCCAUAGGACAAGCGUUCCUAAUUCAGCUGCCUGAGCAGGAAGAGAUGCUUUCAGAAGUGUUCCUUGGAGGUGCUUUGUACACUUUGCUCAGUGAUCUAUGGGGGACAAAACAUCAAUUAAAUGGAAAAAUGAUAAAUAGUAAA